rnacentral:rRNA from 1 species
UACGUAGGGGGCUAGCGUUGUCCGGAAUCAUUGGGCGUAAAGAGCGUGUAGGCGGCCCGGUAAGUCCGCUGUGAAAGUCGGGGGCUCAACCCUCGAAUGCCGGUGGAUACUGUCGGGCUAGAGUGCGGAAGAGGCGAGUGGAAUUCCUGGUGUAGCGGUGAAAUGCGCAGAUAUCAGGAGGAACACCGAUUGCGAAGGCAGCUCGCUGGGACGUAACUGACGCUGAGACGCGAAAGCGUGGGGGAGCAAACAGG